GGUCCACUGGGAUCCUGAGACUGGGUUCUGCGCAGUGCAUGGGAGCUAAACAAGGGGGAUAAGAGGGCUGGUGGGAGCCCAGGCUCCACCCCCCUGUUUACUGGCCAGUGGAUCUGGAUAGGCAGGCAAAGGGAAGGUUUGAUUAUUCAAUCAACAUUUUUCUCCAUAUAUCUUCUGAUGACACAGCAAAAAACCCCAUAUGAUUAAACAACUGUGCAGCGGCAAUUCGGCAGCAGCUUUCGCUGUAGCUAAACAUAGAAGCUGCUGCCGAAUUACCGCCGCCGCGGAAACGCGCCUGCCGCCCUAAGGGCACACAGACUGCCCUCGCCGUCCGCGACAGCAAUUCGGGGCGCUGCUGGGGGCAAAACAACACGGACUGCCGCCCCUUGAAGAUUGCCGCCCCAAGCACCAGCUUGGAAUGCUGGUGCCUGGAGCCGGCUCUGGUGCUAGGAUUGUGUCUGUGGAAGCUUGUUCUCGUAUGAACUUUGCAAUAGCAUGAAGAUAGUCAUAUUUGCUUUAGAGGUCUCAACUCUUUUACUACUCAAUAGAUUCUCUAGAUGAUUUUGAAGUAACUGACAUAAUUACUUAAGAUUUGUUACGAUGUCUGACUGCCAGAGAUACUCUAGACCUUUCAGAGCUGCAUUAUGGAAAAGAUCUGUAUAGUGCCAAUGAAAUUAUUUGAAACUAUCAGAAUGGAGAAGAUAUAAAUGUCAUUUUACCACUUCCCAAUAAAACUUACUGGGGAAGUGUUGUGCAAG